CCGAGCCGUGAGGGCAGGGAUCGGCCCGAGCCGUGAGGGCAGGGAUCGGCCCGAGCCGUGAGGGCAGCCAUCGGCCCGAGCCGUGAGGGCAGGGAUCGACCCAAGCCGCUUCCGCGGGCAGGAGCUGCUCCGCGCUGACAGUAGGGCCUCUGCCAGCACAAUUCCCGCCAGGAAGGCUUUGUUUGUGCCCCACACAAACUGUUCCAAGGCUGGAAACUGCUCUCAGAGUGACACAGAUGCCCCUGGGCUGUAACGCCAUGGCCAGGCGUGUGUCAGCUCCGAGCUCCGGGCUUUGGAGCACACACGCCUGAGGAGGUGAACCUAUUCCGGGGACGUGGGACUCCAGCAGAUUUCUGCACACAAAAACCAGCAGGUUCAGAUGGAAUGCUGGGAUGGAGCUGCCACCGGCACUGGCCUGGACACACGACAGCUUCUCCUUCACAUGGGAGAGCGGGGCAGCGGGAUGGAUGGAGCCGACAGCAAGGCAAUGGGAAAAGAACUUACUUCUGCCUUCUCCCUCCUUCAUCUGAUUGCACAUAAGCAAAGAAGGGAAGUAAUACCACAACAUAUUGUUUGCAAUAUGCUCUCUUGGCCAUAGGGAAGGGAAACAGUUCGGAGAUUCUUUUAAAAGCACUUAGCAUGACAUACAGUCUUUAUAUUUUGCUUGGGUGAUGCCUGCCUUCUGCUUGUCUUACUUAUUUAGGUUUCAAGUCCUCUUAGCAAGAGUGUUCCUCUCAAAUACAUUUUGCAAAUCCAGCAAAUAGUUUUAUUAUAAAAUAAUUAAGACAUUAUUAACAUUCAUCCUUACAGCUUCCCACUCUCCUGACUUCCUCACCAUAAUGUUCCUGCUGAAAACACGAAGUUCCCUACCACAACGCUUGCCUUUCUCCAGAUACUUUGUCUGGAGACAAUUAAAGAAAAUCAGAAUGACAACGAUUAUCAAAGGCAAAAGAUAAUAUCAUAUUCAAAGAACAAAAAUAGGAUAUGAGACCUCAAAAUAUCUUUACACAAAUAUCAAAGUUAAAAAGAAGGAAAGAGACUUAAAAAGAAAUUAUUAAGUAACAAAAGGCUCUUUUUUUUCCCCAUGCCCUUCAGAUCAUUCAUGGCAUUCUGAUUUGAAAGGAGGAUGACAGAAAGAGUGGGAGGUUGUCUGAAAUUUUACACUGGAAACAAACAGGUGCAGACAAUGAGAGAAUAAGUGUGCUGAAAGCUGCAGUUCUCCACUAAGAAAUGUUAAUGCACAAGUCAAAUCUAUCGAAGGGGAAAUCGCCUCCCACAACAAAGGGAAAAUGUAGAUGUGACAGACAGAGAGAUGCCAGGCAACAAUCAAAGAAAACAGAUAUCUAACCUAGUUAUUCAGACAUGCAGUAUAACUCCUAUUAUCCUCCCAUUAUUAUGAGGAUAGUGGCAUGUGCUGGAAAGUCAUACACAGUGUCCCAGGACACACUUGAAACACAGCAGAGAAGCUCUUGACUUCAAGGAUCCUAUAUUCAGUCUCCAGUGAAGACACAGGGUGAGAUAUUGCAGAUCUAAAGAAUAUCAUAUAGUUAAAAGCUGUCAGAGGAGAAAAGGGGAGAUCAGCUGUCUUGAGAGAUAAGCCACAACACAGGCUCACCACAGAAAUAUACAGAAAUUAGGGCUUAACAAGUUCCCACACUGAACAUAGCUACAGAUCUGGCACACAAAAUUUGUGUUCUCUAUAUUUACUUCUGUAUUAUCUCCCAAAUGCUUUUAUCUUGGUUAAAAGAGCUUUAAUUUUGGAAGGAGAACAUCUAGUCACUUUGUCAUUACCCCUAAUAAUGUGAAUGGGGAACAGAAUUUGUCAGUCUUGCAGCGGUGGAAACAGCUGGUGUGAAACCCUCCAUGUUCUCUUUGUCCAGCUUGGCAACUGCAAGCACAGUCCCAUUGUGCUGUUACAAUCACAGUCUCCUUAAGAAUGGAGACGCUUUUCCAGAAAGAAGGAAAGACUGAGCAGUGUCAUUUGUAGCAUAAGAGAGAAUGGGGUUGUCCUCCAGCAAGAGGUUUGCAAGGGUGAGGAAGAUGGUAAGGAAGAGUGUGUCAAGCACUAGCUGCUUCUCUUCUGUUUUUUCCUUUUGUUACUCCUUUAUGGUUUUAUUAAUCUCUUACAAUCUGGAUUUCAAUGAAACCUUCAGUUUUAUUCCCCAGUUUUUGUCCUUGUAGGAUGAUUCCUUCUAAUGGCUAAUCUGGAGGUUUGCUUGUGGCUUUGACCUCACCCUGCCACUUUGGGAUUAAUGAUACCCACCAAGGUGCACCUGAUCAGUUGCACACACUGACAGAAGCAUCCCCUGAAUGAAGCAGCAGCUUUCCCAGAGUCCCUUUUGGGCUUGUUGGGAGAAAUACAUUGGGAUGGGCCGCUCAAAGCACUAUCAAGGGAACAGAAAAAGUUUAAAUUUUAACAGCCCAUUCACAGCACCCAUUCUUACAAACACCCUGUCCAAACAUGAAUCCUGAAAGGAGUAAAAAAAGAACUUUCCACUUCCCCAGAAUCCAUUGCCCCGUAAAGAUGGAGAGAAGAGGACACACACUUCAGCCUGAUAACCUCCACAGCACUUUGUAAAACAAACUGAUUUCCCUGGGAGGGCUGUUACUCUCGGCAGCUUUUCCCCAACCUUUCCUUUAUUCCAAAGCCAUUUCAGGUACUGCACUUUGCACCUCUAAGUGCAGGUUAAAAUAUUGUACAACAGCUAUGUUUCAACAGCAGCACACAGCCACUCAGUAGACAAAGAUGUGCUCAGAGCUUCAUGAAUAUAUUCAGCAGUUAGGAAUUGGGGAGAGAGGAGCACAGGGACAUGGAUUUACUGUUUGCAUUCAUUUCUGGGCAUGAAACAUUUUUCUCUCAUUUAAAGAACAGUAUUUGACUAGUUUGACAUGUUGAAGAUCCAGCUGGAGAGCAGCACCAGAUGAGACCAUGCUCACCAGCAACAAGGAAAUGUCUCCAGUGCAUGUUUCCUUGCCAGUGGUUUCUAGGAAGUGACAGGCGGCGCGGGAUCCGCAGAUCAGCCGCUUCAUUGUGCUCAUUCCACAUUCCGGCGCUGGAGAAGGCACAUGUUGGGAACUCACGCCACUGCUAAGGAGAUCAGCACCGUGAUAGCAAACGGGGGGAAAUUGUCCCAGGAGAACUGGAAAGAUGGGAGCAGAGCCCUCCUGACACCUCAGGCGGUGCCUGUGCUCAGGUAGUGCUGGUGAGAGCCAUGCUGACCACUCUGUUAUGGAGCCAGGAAUACUCCUGCUUUGACUCCAGCUGUGAUGGUAAAUUCAGUAGUGCCAGGAGUGUUCCUGAACACUGAGACAGCACUACCUGCACGUAAGUUACCAGCAGCUUGGACCAGGGUCAACUGCAGCUCUCCCAACAAUUCCUGGGUCAGGCUAGGACUCAAUGUAUGGAAGGGCAGAUGCCACUCCCAGUUGGCAAUUUACAAUAGGACAGAGGUGGCCAAAUGUCUAAAUGUUCCAGAAGCCAAGAUUCCUGUAAAUGAAAGGACUGAAUGCAGGGGUGUGGAAAUCAAUAGGGUGACUCCCCGUACCCCAGACAUGCUCUCUUCAGUUAAAUAUGUAGCUUGAAAAUUCAGAUUCAUAUUCAAGGAUAAAAGCACCCUUUGCAUUUGCCCUUUCUAUUUGGCUGUCCACCCUGUAUACAGUUCAGAGCCUUGUCCAUCACCGGGACAGUGAUCUCCAAUUUUAGACAUCUGACUUCCCCUUGGCAAUUCUGAGUGGGUGUUUAACAUAGGUGAAUCUAAACUGUCCUCUGGAGGAGCCUCUCUCUCUGUCCACUAAAUAUUUAUUAAUGAAUAGACCUAUAUUCCUAAUUUAGGUAUCUGAAUUUGAUACUUAAAAUUAAGGGGACUCAAUCCUCACUAGAAUUCUUUUUGAGGUCCUGACACUGCUGGUGGCUUUCCGCAAACACAAACUCAUUGGAUCAUUCUCCUGUCAAGUAAUCUUCAUUGCUGAGCAACAAAAAAUGUUCUUCCUCUUAUCUGUGUCUUUGUUUUACAGGAUAAAAAAUUGUAAAUUCAGGUGUAAAUUAUGUCCCUAUCAAGGCCUUUUGGUGGAAAAUUUGAAGGCAGGGUUUCCCAGUGAGGUAACCAAAGCUUAAAGCCCUCAUCUUCCAGCCUCUGGGACCCAGUGUUUCUUUUGCUAUGAGCCAUUUUUUCCUUCCCUUUUAUUCGAACCUCUUCCUUGACUCCAAAGAGCUGUAGAAAGCUCUGCCACUCCUGAUUCUGUUCCCUUCUCAGAGCACACGAGGACUGGCCCUGGUCUGCACCUGAGUCUGCCCAUGGCAAGGUCCAUCAGGCACUUCAGUGGUGUUUCUAAAGGAGACAGCUGCUGGAAAUCCUGAAGCCAGAGGCCAACAGGAAAGGAAAGAUGCUCAUCAGCUUUCCCAGCCUGGUCCUGCCUUUUCACCUCUGAUUAGUCAGCUCUUAAACAUCUCAGCUGGAGGAUGCCACUCGCUCCCUGUUUGAUUGAGAAGAGGGCCCAGCCCAGCUACUGGCUGAGCAGAUGAAAGCGUCAGAGACUUCAGUGGAUUUGCCUGUGUUUAAAUCCCUCCCAGUGGUUUGAUCUCUUCCCAGUUCCUCAAGGAAGCAGAAUUUGGUUCAGUAGCGCUCGGAAUCAGCACGACUUUGGCCCAUCUUAAACAACAGUGCAAAAAGGCACUUUUAAUUCAGAAGAAAUGCCAGACUCGCUGUCAUUCAAACCUGCAGUGAUGUCCAUGACAUCAUUCUUUGCUACUGCAAGGGACUCAACCUCACGACCACUGUGCAAGUGCAGAGAAAAAGGAUUUCAGGAGCUGGAAUAAAUGGGAAGGAGAGGUACCACAUUUAUACAUAAUUCUGAGCGGAUCAUCAAUCUGAAGAUGGAGCCACCAGAUUCUUGAACUCACCAUCAUUGCUCAUUAUUUGGGGUUCUAAAUAGCCCUGUAAUCCUUGCAUUUGAAUGCAUAAUGACUUCGGAGUUCAGCCAACACAGAAAUAUGAAAUGGAAGGGCAGAGCUAAGUUCAGCAGUGUUACAUUUAAAACCUCUCUGGAGAUAACCAUCCAAAGCCAAGCUGCUUCCACAGUUGGUCGCCUCUUUUUCCCUGGCUCUGCCAGUCACCCUGCAGCUCCUCUAUUUCUCUACCAGAAAGCCCCUCCAUGGGAGGCACAGGAGGAUCCUGGAUGCAACCUCAAGACCAGCUACUACCUCAGAAAAGAUAAGAAACUCACAAUUCCACUUUGCCAAGGUCAUGACAUUGCUCUGCUCCCUGCAGCCAAAGCUGGAAGUUAAGAACUCAGUUCCACCAUUCCCUGCAGUUGUUUCAGCUUGUGGUAUUACCACUGUUUGGCUAAGACAUUGUUUUCUAUAUUUUUUAUGUACAUAACACUGUAAAUUUAGAGAAGGAAGGUAGUAAUGAUGUAUCUACUGCACAUGGAAGGCUAAAAAGGAAAAGCACAGCAUAUUUAAUAUACAGCUCUCAGCAGCCUGGGCUGAGCCUCGCUUUAAGAGUCCCUGGAUUUUGUUUGCAUUCCUUGCCAGAUGUGACGGUAAAAUCUCCUGACUUAAAUAUCAGGAGAACAAGAGCCAUAAUUUAUCAAUGUUACUAUUAUUUUCAUUACUACUACCUUUAUUCUCUAACUUGUUCAGGCAUCAAUAAUUAGAAAGAUAAUUUUCAAAGCCUGUUUGACCAUUCUUCCACAUAGGGAAUUUAAAAAAUACACUGAAUAUCAUUAGAAUUACUGUACUACCUACUGUUGAGAUUUGGUCAGGGAUGGGAGGAAAUGUUCUGAAAAAUACCUUUUUCGGUCAGCUUGCCUGGCAGCACAGCAUAAAACAUGUCAUGAUCUACAUGUGCUGCCUCCCAUUGCUGAUCCAAUUAAUAAGAUCUAUGGAAAAUUAGACCUAGCUUGUAAUUACAUCACUAUUAAUUGGCUUUUAUAUUUGUAGUAUUUUAUACUGAGAUAAAUGAAAGAAAACUUUUUGUUUGUAUAAAUUCUUCUGUGUUGUCCAAGACAUUUUUUUUCCUGCCACGUUACAGUUAAGCUGAACAUUUUGGAAACAAUAGUCAGCCAAAUCCUACAAGGCAUUAAAAAUGUUUUCCAAGGUAAAGCAUCAUGCCAAGGAUAAUGCUAACACUCAGCACAGAGGAAGAGAUAAGAAAGUAAAGCAAAACAUACCAGAAAAUUAUCCAGCUAACCUCAAUUAAUAGAAAUACCUGAAAUUCAAUACUUCCCUCAUCCUGGGUCUCUACACAGAAGGUGAAGUUUGUUAGGAUGCUGAAUGAGGAAUUUAGCCCUGGGUGUUUCAUGCCAUCCACGAAAAGCUAAGGUGUUUUAUUUUCUGAAGACAGGUAAGAGCUGAUGCACCACCUCUGUGCAUUUCAUCAGAACUUCACCAGCUUGCAAGCGACAGCACAGUUUUUAUUAUGAUUGAUCCACUCAACCAUCACAUAUGCAACAUGGAAACCCACACUGAACUGGUGAGCUCGCAGUGUGGACUGGGGUGCAGCCUGUUCUAACAGACACAGCUGCACUGCAGCAUCACUGCUCCUAAAAAACAUUGUUUAAGUCUUCAAACCUGCAGAUUUCUUCAUAUUCAUAAGGACUGUACGACAAGGACUCCAAAUUUACAAAUUUACACAUCACCAAUCUUUUGCUUCAUUUUAAAAACAAGAUUUGAAUGCUGAAAGCAGCCUGACCUGUAUUCCUGAUUUACGUUUUUUUAUUUCCUUGAGGAUAAUGACCUUUCACAGAGUAAGACGACUUUUAUCAGCCUGAGCUGGAGAAAAAUGUGACACAGAUUUAUAUUCCUACACUCUUUUCUGAUUUUGAUGUGGAUCCAAUUCUGCCAUCCUCACUCAGGCCGGCAGAGUCAGGUCUGCAGUGCCUUAGCAGUGGAGAUCUAGAGCGUAGGGAAUCUGCAAUAAGCAAUUACAAGUUCUAGACAGGGUGAACUGGAAAGAUGGAGGGGGGUUACUUCAUUUCAUUAAGAUAAUGCAGUGGGAAAGGUGAAUAAGUGAAAGAGUGCAUGUGCAUGAGAGAAAGAGCUCAGCAAACAUCCUUCUUAAAUUAGAUGGCUUCUCAGUUCUCUGUUACCUUGUUUGCCCUUCAGGACAAGCAGAAAGGCAAAGGAGGAUUUUUUAAUUUUAUUUAUUUAUUUUAGAAAGUUGUUCUUUUGUGGAUGCUCCUGGCUGGUAAAGGAAGGUCAUUUCUCAAUGACUGUUCUCUGAGAUGAGCAGUGAUCAUGCACAGUCUAACUAGGCCACACUCAUGUCUCAGCAUUGAGACUCACAAAUUUUCCUUUGCUCUUCCCCUCCUCCUACCUGUUGUGGGACACACAAGGAAAAACACACCCUCCACUGUUGCAGGCACCACUCAGUGACAGACUCUUGGGGUGCCAAAGAAGGAGCGGAUUUCUGUUGUCACAGAUUGGUGAAUGGAGCCCCUCACAGCUGCACAGGAGAUACUGGAAAAUCCAGACUUUGUCCAGACCGGCUGCAGUCUGUUCCCUCACGCUGUGACGCCAUUUUGGAGGGAAAAUGAAUCCCAUUACUGUUAGCUCCCACUAGCUCCAAAAAACAGAGUAAUCUUGUGACAUUACCAGUGUUUUGACAGGGAUCCAUUCCACUCCAGUAUAUAAUAUUAAUUUUAAACAUUUUGGCACUUCUCUAAUUUUAGAAGAUGAAUAUUGCUCCAUUACAGCAGAGAUCCAGGGAGCAAAUGCCACAGGCAAAUGGGAUUAAUGCUUCUCAUCUCAGGUAAGGAAACACAGCAGGUCAAGCCUGUGUAAAUAGGUUUUAAGUUGUUACUUGGAGCCAAAUGAAGUUUGAGACUUUUAAAACCAACUGGAGGUUUUAGCAGCCUUUCUUCCCUGGAAUGGGAUUUCGGAUUGCACUUUAACCCUUUUGUCAGCUCGGAGAGAGUUGGGCUACUUGUGCUCCAGGUGAAAUCUCCCAUGUUGUUAUGCAAAACCAAGCUGAUGGAAAUGUAAACAUCUGACUUAUUAUAUGCUUGUUCUUUCAGCAAAACAGAGCUUUAGCCUUAGCAAGCCACGGCAGUAUAACACGUUGUAAAAACAGUAACAAUAGCAAAAAUUAUUAAACAUUUAUCUCUCCCAUGAGUGAACAUCUGGCAUGUAUCAAAACGCUGCCGUGGGGAUUUACCACCAGAACCUUUAAGGUUUUAUGCAACAAUGCCUAGAGAGGGCAAUAACAGAGCAUAUUCCACAUAGGAUUUUUAAUCACUGGCCUCUUGAAAAUAUCAAGAGCAGAAGCUGAGCCAGGUAUCAGUUUAUAAAUGAAAUGCUGGCGUUCUCAUUUGUGACGCAGGAAAAAAUAUCAGCCACAUUUUUAAUUAAGUAAGCAGAAAUCUAAAAUAAACAGAAUACAAGACAUGAUAUUGCAGAUAGCAAACAGAUGUGAUAGAGGUUCCCUCUGUAGACCUUGCAUGAAGGAUGCUUUGCUAAGAAGGACUUCUCUGACGUAGAAAUGUUUCCAAUGGUUUUCAACUCACUACCUCUACAAAGCUUUUUGUCUCUUCACCCAAGUCUUAUGGAAGUUACAUCCUUAAUCUUGUCUUUUAAAACAUCUUUAGAAAAAUGUAUGAAUCUGUUUCUAAAUCUCUCCAAGAACUUGAAAGCAACUGCUUGGAGGGAGGGGAGGAGCGAGUGGGGUGUGUGGUUUAUGAUUACAUAAAGAUUACAUAUGAUUACACAAAGAUUUAUGUAAGGCAAGGGAGGAAUGCAUGUAGUGAAUGAUACGGGGAAGGAACAGAGCAAAACCUGGUAGUGGAGAUUAAAAGUGCAGGGAUCAUGUGGAUCACGUGUUGGGUCAAGAAACAAAUGUGAGGGGAGAAUAUCAAGGGUUCUGUUUGGACUCUUGUUAUACAAGAAACUAUUAUACAACUGUACAGCCAUGUCCUCCAGCAGCACUUUCCUCUCUCCUGGUAAUAAGUACAGAGUUGGGGCUUUCUAAAGGGAAGAAGAAAAACUUGAGAAUUUUGUGAUUAAUGUUACUAUUAAUGAGAUUGUCCCAGGGCCAUAAUCUCAUGACUAAUCCUGUUAGUUUCUUAAAUAAGCAGCACAAGAAGUAAAUAAUUUCUGAUUCUUUGGUUUUGUUUCUUUGUAAUAUUUUAAGAUCUAUUAAUACUUUUUGUCAGUAUUUAAAAUAAAUGAAGGGUUCAGCUAUUUAUCUUACCUAAGUGUUUUUCUAAUGUAUUUGAGGUUCUAUAUAAGCCCAUAGCAGAUUUCCUUUCUUCAUAAAGGAGCCCAGUCAGUUUAUGCAUAAUGUUCAAACAAAAGGUUCUAAAAUAAUGCAUUUUGGAGGCGAUAAAGAUACUGGAAAAGACAGAAUUAGACAGAGGAUAUACAUUAGUCUAGUACUUCCAAAGAUUAGCAUUUCUGGGUAGCACAAAGGAUUCUGCUCAGGAAUUCAACCCUGAUUAAACCAAUGGUGGAUCUGGUACAAGGAAGGAAAGAAUGGGAGUAAGCAAAGGAUGCUGUCACAGGGAAAGGGAGGAAGAAACCAACAAAUUGACAGACUGGUGGAAAAAUAAAGAACCCAAAGAGGAAAUCACAUCCAAUACCCUAGUCAUGUACUGUUUAAAAUUUAAAAAAUCCCGUAAAGGUUGGGGACAUCUUUUCUGAUGACCAGGACUUGGCACAUGUAGGAACCAAAGGGCAGUGCCAGGAAAGGAUGUUCAGCAGUCCCUAGACCCCGCUGUUGAAGAGGAGAACACACAGUCUGCUCGGAGAGGUUCCUGAGCUUUUCCAGGCACAAGGACGCAGUGCUGCCAUAAGCUCCAUGAAUACACCCGCCUAGUUCAGCGCGAAGUAACCUAAGUUUAAAAUGGUAUUUGUAGCAUGAAAUGAAAUUAUGAUGCCAAAGUAAAAUAAACGUCGAGCAAACUCAGUCAA